UGGGGAAUAUUGCACAAUGGGCGAAAGCCUGAUGCAGCAACGCCGCGUGAGGGAAGACGGUUUUCGGAUUGUAAACCUCUGUCUUUGGUGAAGAUAAUGACGGUAGCCAAGGAGGAAGCCACGGCUAACUACGUGCCAGCAGCCGCGGUAAUACGUAGGUGGCAAGCGUUGUCCGGAAUUACUGGGUGUAAAGGGAGCGCAGGCGGGACUGCAAGUUGGAUGUGAAAUACCGAGGCUUAACCUCGGAGCUGCAUCCAAAACUGUAGUUCUUGAGUGGAGUAGAGGUAGGCGGAAUUCCGAGUGUAGCGGUGAAAUGCGUAGAUAUUCGGAGGAACACCAGUGGCGAAGGCGGCCUACUGGGCUCUUACUGACGCUGAGGCUCGAAAGUGUGGGGAGCAAACAGG
rnacentral:rRNA from 2 species